CCGUAGGUGAACCUGCGGAAGGAUCACUA
rnacentral:ncRNA from 2 species